UACGUAGGGGGCAAGUCGUUGUCCGGAUUUAUUGGGCGUAAAGAGCGUGUAGGCGGCCAGGUAGGUCUGCUGUGAAAACUCGAGGCUCAACCUCGAGACGUCGGCGGAAACCAUCUGGCUAGAGUCCGGAAGAGGAGAGUGGAAUUCCCGGUGUAGCGGUGAAAUGCGCAGAUAUCAGGAGGAACACCGGUGGCGAAGGCGGGUCUCUGGGCAGUAACUGACGCUGGAGGAGCGAAAAGCGUGGGGAGCGAACAGG
rnacentral:rRNA from 1 species